rnacentral:lncRNA from 1 species
AGGAGCUGGGACCAUCCCUUAAAGCUUAUAGGAAGAUGGAGCUAUUCUUCCUGCUGGGACUAUUCUCAAGAGGGAGAUGUCCAACAGCAAGAACACUGUCAUUGCUCCUGCAUCUUCCUGAACAUGCUGCUGCCAAGCUAGCCCAGGUCCCAGAGCAACACAGGGAGCACUAUUUCUGUAGGAGCAUCUGUCUGAGGAUGUGAAGUGAAUUUGGACAGUAGAGCUCAAAGACAUUGGAAGACAAAGAUGCUCUGCAAACAACGGUGAUAACAUCCAACAAGUCCAGCCUGAUGUCUUCUUAGAAACAAACUGCCA